GAUUAACCCAGCUGUAGCAGUGUGAUGGGUCCUUGGCUGGAAGUGCUGCUCCUCCCUUGAGCAAAACAGGAGAAGCUGCAUUGAGGCUCCUCUCUGCAGGUUGUUGAUGGAUGUCUUGGUGCAGCCCAGGUCUGGACAUUCAUAGCACUGUGUGAUCUCCAUGCUACUGGAGGAGCUGGUGAAGGUCCAUAACUCCAGAAAAGCAGAAAGAAAAAGUCCCUCCACAGUUUCCAGGAUCAGCCCCUCCCGGAUUGCAUCUUACGGUGCCUCUUGGCUGUACUGCACGUUCCCCACCAUAAAUACAUCCCCAGGACAUCAGGAGCAGAGCAAGGGGCUGCAAUAUUGGUGAAAGGGACAUUACAGGAGAAAAGUUGAAAACCUCAGGGCCUGGUCCUGACCUCUUUGAGCUGAACAGGAGCUGUUGCGUGGGCUUCAGUGGGAGCAAGCUCGUGUGCUCUACGUGCAGAAGCAUUAAACUUAAAAGCAAGCUGUUUAAAAGGCUGCAUUGUUUCUUGCUUGUACUGAUAGUUUCUCAUGUAAAGUUCUAUAUA